rnacentral:rRNA from 1 species
GGCGAACGGUCGCGUAACACGUAAGCAACCUGCCCUGAAGCGGGGGAUAGCCCACCGAAAGGUGGAGUAAUACCGCAUGUGGAUACGGUGUCGCAUGUCACUUUAUCUAAAGCAGCAAUGCACUUCAGGAUGGGCUUGCGGCCUAUCAGCUAGUUGGUGGGGUAGAGGCCUACCAAGGCGACGACGGGUAGCUGGUCUGAGAGGAUGGUCA